UACGAAGGGGGCGAGCGUUGUUCGGAAUUACUGGGCGUAAAGGGCGCGCAGGCGGCGAGUUUUGUCAGGCGUGAAAGCCCCGGGCUCAACCUGGGAACUGCGCUGAAACGGGCUUGCUGGAGACCGGGAGAGGAGAGUGGAAUUCCCAGUGUAGAGGUGAAAUUCGUAGAUAUUGGGAAGAACACCGGUGGCGAAGGCGGAUCUCUGGGCCUUACCUGACGCUGAGACGCGAAAGCUAGGGGAGCGAACAGG
rnacentral:rRNA from 1 species